UCUGCUUGAUCCUGGCAGUUCUAUAUGCUACCAUCAAAGAUUAAGCCAUGCAUGUCUAAGUACAAGCUAAAAUGACAGUGAAACCGCGAAAGGCUCAUUAUAUCAGUCAUGGUUCAAUAGAUUGUACCCAGUUACAUGGAUAACUGCGGAAAUACUGGAGCUAAUACAUGCCAACAGAGUCCCGACCGGCGACGGAAGGGACGCUUUUAUUAGAUCAAAACCAAUCGGCGGCGCAAGCCGUCGUGAAUUUUGGUGACUCUGGAUAAAUUUGGCUGAUCGCACGGCCUCCGUGCCGGCGACGCAUCUUUCAAAUGUCUGCCUUAUCAACUGUCGAUGGUAGGUUCUGCGCCUACCAUGGUUGUAACGGGUAACGGGGGAUCAGGGUUCGAUCCCGGAGAGGGAGCCUGAGAAACGGCUACCACAUCCAAGGAAGGCAGCAGGCGCGCAAAUUACCCAUUCCCGGUUCGGGGAGGUAGUGACGAUAUAUAACGAUACAGGACUCAUCCGAGGCCCUGUAAUCGGAAUGACUACACUUUAAAUCCUUUAAGGAGUACCAAUUGGAGGGCAAGUCUGGUGCCAGCAGCCGCGGUAAUUCCAGCUCCAAUAGCGUAUAUUAAAGUUGCUGCGGUUAAAAAGCUCGUAGUUGGAUCUGUGUCCCGCACCGUUGGUUCACCGCCCGACGGUGUUCAACUGACGCGCUGCGGGACGUCCUGCCGGUGGGGCGUCAGCUGCCUCGUUUAACCGCGAGGUGGGCGGCUCCGAGUCAAUCCCGCACCGGUGCUCUUUAACGAGUGUCGAGGCGGGCCGGCACGUUUACUUUGAACAAAUUAGAGUGCUCAAAGCAGGCUCACUUACGCCUGAAUGGUAGUGCAUGGAAUAAUGGAAUAGGACUUCGGUUCUAUUUUGUUGGUUUUCGGAACCAGAAGUAAUGAUUAAUGGAGACAGGCGGGGGCAUUCGUAUUGCGGCGCUAGAGGUGAAAUUCUUGGACCGCCGCAAGACGAACUGAAGCGAAAGCAUUUGCCAAGGAUGUUCUCGUUGAUCAAGAACGAAAGUUAGAGGUUCGAAGGCGAUUAGAUACCGCCCUAGUUCUAACCAUCAACUGUGUCAGCCAGCGAUCCGCCUGCGUUAAUUUGAUGACCAGACGGGCAGCUUCCGGGAAACCAAAGCUUUUGGAUUCCGGGGGAAGUAUGGUUGCAAAGCUGAAACUUAAAGGAAUUGACGGAAGGGCACCACCAGGAGUGGAGC
rnacentral:rRNA from 1 species